rnacentral:lncRNA from 1 species
GUCAAAUACCAUCAUUAGUCAUAUACCAGAUUGGCUCGACUCGAGUUCAUCUGUGAAUUCUGUACAUUUGCUUCAAUCGAAGACCUCCUGAACUCAGUCUUGCUAAUCAUAUAGGAUUUCUCCUUUUCUACCAAAGUCGAUAGAUUCCAUUUAGGUGCAUCCUACUCUAACAGCGAAUCUGAACCUAUUGUAGCCAACAUACACAGCAA